rnacentral:rRNA from 1 species
AGCAGCCGCGGUAAUUCCAGCUCCAAUAGCGUAUAUUAAAGUUGUUGCAGUUAAAAAGCUCGUAGUUGAAUUUCGGGAUCAAUAUGUCGGUCGUGCCAUCGGUACGUACUGGUAUCAUUGGUCUCUCCUUUCUGACGAACCAUGAUGUCAUUAAUUUGGUGUUAUGGGGAGUUAGGACUGUUACUUUGAAAAAAUUAGAGUGUUUAAAGCAGGCAUUAGCUUGAAUACAUUAGCAUGGAAUAAUGAAAUAGGACGUUCGAACCUAUUUUGUUGGUUUCUAGGAUCAACGUAAUGAUUAAUAGGGAUAGUUGGGGGCAUUAGUAUUCAAUUGUCAGAGGUGAAAUUCUUGGAUUUAUUGAAGACUAACUACUGCGAAAGCAUUUGCCAAGGAUGUUUUCAUUAAUCAAGAACGAAAGUUAGGGGAUCGAAGACGAUCAGAUACCGUCGUAGUCUUAACCAUAAACUAUGCCGACUAGGGAUCGGAUGAUGUUAAUUUUUAUGA